AUUUCUGUGUCCAAACUUUUGUGUCAGUUGAAUUCUAUUGUUCUAUUUACUAAAAUUCUCUUGAUUAGUACAGGCCCCUUCUCUGAAGAGGCCACUGGAGAUUGGUUAAUUGGAUGAUGGUCUCUACAGGCUUGUGCAAUCUUCUUCCCUUAAAACUCUUGAUCCUUGUAAUCAACAUGCUCCUUUACCUGUUAGUUCUGUUUCUUCUUCUCACUGUACGUACCAUUCCGAAUUGAAUAAAAUGGAGAUGUUAUGUCAUAAUAGACUAGGGCAUAUACCUUUUUUUAGAAUGAAAGACAUGCCUUCUAUAACAUGUAGUUUUUCCACAAAGCAACCUUUUCUCUGUACUAUAUGCCCUUUGGCCAGGCAAUCUAGACUACCCUUUCCUGACAGCUCCAUUAAAACAACUCAUGCUUUUCAACUGAUUCAUGUUGAUACAUGGGAUCCAAAGGAAUUGGAUGGAACCAGUGCAUGGUACCUUAACCUUAUAGCCAUUGGGUAAGGUAACUAGAUAUGGUAUUACUAAAGGCUUAAUGUCAAAGAGAAGUUCUUUAUUUGAUGUCAUGUGGUCAGUGGCACCAAAGUCUAUAAUCCAGAUGC
rnacentral:lncRNA from 1 species